AUCGUUCAUCUCUGUGUGGACUCAGGUUGUUGACCGAGGGGCAAUAGAGACGGAAGUAGGGAAUGUAGCCCGAAGGAACGCGCC
rnacentral:ncRNA from 2 species